AGAUGUUAUUUUAAUAGAUUUACAAGGAAUUAAAUUGAAUUAUAGUAGAAUCCACAUGAAUUACUAUGAAUUUUUUUUCAAAACAAUUUUCUCCUAUAAGUGGUUGAGCACCAUCAUCAGAUAAAUUCGUGUCUACCAACGUCAAGAAUCUGUUAUCGACUUAUCUUAUUUUAUGUCAAUUUAAACUUUUGAAUCAAAUAUCUCAGAGUCGUUACGCUUUGUUGUAGAUUACAUCCUCAGGUAAUUCUCCAUUUCGAAAUUGGUUAAAGAAAAAGGUAUAAUAUAAUAUUGUGAGGUGGAAACCGAAAAGUAGGGCAAGGGACCCACAGGAAUCAUGAUCAAAUUUUGUGACGAUAAAUUUGAAUGGCUAAGAUGGGGCCAUAUAUGAUCAUAAACGUGGCAAAAAUUGUUUGAAUUGGGACCCUCAAUCAACCGAAAGUUUCCCGAUACCGUUGGGCUGUGGCAGUUAUUUCGGUUUACCUGUCAUCUUAUUAUCGAUCGAUUGAGCUAAAAGAGAUUCUUCAUAUUCAAUGGUGAAAAGUUAAAUAUAUCUUUGGCUGUGGAAUUUUAAUUAUCCAGAAAUAUAAUUGAUUCUCGUAAAUGGCUGAAAUUUCAAGUGGGUCUGUCUGAUCAAAGUCGCAAAUGAGAGAGACGUUGGGUUCUUCGUUUUUCUAAUUGCUUGAAUGUGAAAUUUGAAUAUUUCAUUGAUUGAAACUUCUAGUCUAUUCGAUUAAUAAGGCAUAAAUUUGAAAAAAUUCAAGUUCAUACACUCAUAAUUUUUUCCCCUCUUCUUCGCAAACGUCUACAUUUUUAAAUUGUGAAUAUAAAAAUAGUAACGUAUUAGUUUUAAAAUAAUUUUGUAUAGCAGCUAGAUAUUUUUCACUGAAAAUUUUGAUAUAUGUAACUACUGCAAGUCACAUAUUUAGAUAACGAAAGACGAUUUUAAGCUACACAAAAUUAUUUUGUUAAAAAUCAAGAUCAAAUGUAAUAUACUGAAGUGA
rnacentral:lncRNA from 1 species